rnacentral:rRNA from 1 species
GACGAACGCUGGCGGCGUGCUUAACACAUGCAAGUCGAACGGUGAAAGGGAGCUUGCUCCCUGGAUCAGUGGCGAACGGGUGAGUAACACGUGGGCAACCUGCCCCAGACUUCGGGAUAACGCUUCGAAAGAGGUGCUAAUACCGGAUACGAACUCCUUGGGCAUCCUUGGAGUUGGAAAGUUUUUCGGUCUGGGAUGGGCCCGCGGCCUAUCAGCUUGUUGGUGAGGUAACGGCUCACCAAGGCGACGACGGGUAGCCGGCCUGAGAGGGCGACCGGCCACACUGGGACUGAGACACGGCCCAGACUCCUACGGGAGGCAGCAGUGGGGAAUAUUGCGCAAUGGGCGAAAGCCUGACGCAGCAACGCCGCGUGCGGGAUGACGGCCUUCGGGUUGUAAACCGCUUUCAGCAGGGAAGAAGCCGCAAGGUGACGGUACCUGCAGAAGAAGCACCGGCUAACUACGUGCCAGCAGCCGCCGUAA